rnacentral:rRNA from 1 species
AGAGUUUGAUCAUGGCUCAGGAUGAACGCUAGCGGCAGGCUUAAUACAUGCAAGUCGAGGGGCAGCAUGACUGUAGCAAUACAGUUGAUGGCGACCGGCAAACGGGUGCGGAACACGUACAGAACCUUCCUUCGAGCGGGAAUAGCCCAGAGAAAUUUGGAUUAAUACCCCAUAGUACAACGGAGUGGCAUCACUUUGUUGUUAAAGAUUUAUCACUUGAAGAUGGCUGUGCGGCUGAUUAGGUAGUUGGCGGGGUAACGGCCCACCAAGCCUGCGAUCAGUAACUGGUGUGAGAGCACGACCAGUCACACGGGCACUGAGACACGGGCCCGACUCCUACGGGAGGCAGCAGUAAGGAAUAUUGGUCAAUGGACGAAAGUCUGAACCAGCCAUGCCGCGUGGAGGAUGAAGGUCCUCUGGAUUGUAAACUUCUUUUAUAUGGGACGAAAAAAGGGUUUUCUAACUCGUCUGACGGUACCAUAUGAAUAAGCACCGGCUAACUCCGUG